UCCAUGGUGGUCUAGUGGUUAAGACUCCUUGCUUUCUGUGCAGGGGUUGCAGGUUCAACCCCUGGUCAGGGAA
rnacentral:tRNA from 1 species